rnacentral:rRNA from 1 species
UACGUAGGGGGCAAGCGUUGUCCGGAUUUAUUGGGCGUAAAGAGCGUGUAGGCGGCCAGAUAGGUCCGUUGUGAAAACUCGAGGCUCAACCUCGAGACGCCGAUGGAAACCAUUUGGCUAGAGUCCGGAAGAGGAGAGUGGAAUUCCUGGUGUAGCGGUGAAAUGCGCAGAUAUCAGGAAGAACACCCGUGGCGAAGGCGGCUCUCUGGUACGUGACUGACGCUGAGACGCGAAAGCGUGGGGAGCGAACAGG